CUGAAUAUGGGGGGACCAUCCUCCAAGGCUAAAUACUCCUGACUGACCGAUAGUGAACCAGUACCGUGAGGGAAAGGCGAAAAGAACCCCGGCGAGGGGAGUGAAAAAGAACCUGAAACCGUGUACGUACAAGCAGUGGGAGCACAGGUUUACCUGUGUGACUGCGUACCUUUUGUAUAAUGGGUCAGCGACUUAUAUUCUGUAGCAAGGUUAACCGUAUAGGGGAGCCGUAGGGAAACCGAGUCUUAACCGGGCGUUAAGUUGCAGGGUAUAGACCCGAAACCCGGUGAUCUAGCCAUGGGCAGGUUGAAGGUUGGGUAACACUAACUGGAGGACCGAACCGACUAAUGUUGAAAAAUUAGCGGAUGACCUGUGGCUGGGGGUGAAAGGCCAAUCAAACCGGGAGAUAGCUGGUUCUCCCCGAAAGCUAUUUAGGUAGCGCCUCGUGAAUUCAUCUCCGGGGGUAGAGCACUGUUUCGGCUAGGGGGCCAUCCCGGCUUACCAACCCGAUGCAAACUGCGAAUACCGGAGAAUGUUAUCACGGGAGACACACGGCGGGUGCUAACGUCCGUCGUGAAGAGGGAAACAACCCAGACCGCCAGCUAAGGUCCCAAAGUCAUGGUUAAGUGGGAAACGAUGUGGGAAGGCCCAGACAGCCAGGAUGUUGGCUUAGAAGCAGCCAUCAUUUAAAGAAAGCGUAAUAGCUCACUGGUCGAGUCGGCCUGCGCGGAAGAUGUAACGGGGCUAAACCAU
rnacentral:rRNA from 1 species